AGACCCGAAACCCGGUGAUCUAGCCAUGGGCAGGUUGAAGGUUGGGUAACACUAACUGGAGGACCGAACCGACUAAUGUUGAAAAAUUAGCGGAUGACCUGUGGCUGGGGGUGAAAGGCCAAUCAAACCGGGAGAUAGCUGGUUCUCCCCGAAAGCUAUUUAGGUAGCGCCUCGUGAAUUCAUCUCCGGGGGUAGAGCACUGUUUCGGCUAGGGGGCCAUCCCGGCUUACCAACCCGAUGCAAACUGCGAAUACCGGAGAAUGUUAUCACGGGAGACACACGGCGGGUGCUAACGUCCGUCGUGAAGAGGGAAACAACCCAGACCGCCAGCUAAGGUCCCAAAGUCAUGGUUAAGUGGGAAACGAUGUGGGAAGGCCCAGACAGCCAGGAUGUUGGCUUAGAAGCAGCCAUCAUUUAAAGAAAGCGUAAUAGCUCACUGGUCGAGUCGGCCUGCGCGGAAGAUGUAACGGGGCUAAACCAUGCACCGAAGCUGCGGCAGCGACACUCAGGUGUUGUUGGGUAGGGGAGCGUUCUGUAAGCCUGCGAAGGUGGCCUGUGAGGGUUGCUGGAG
rnacentral:rRNA from 3 species